rnacentral:rRNA from 1 species
CGAGUGGCGGACGGGUGAGUAAUGUCUGGGAAACUGCCUGAUGGAGGGGGAUAACUACUGGAAACGGUAGCUAAUACCGCAUAACGUCGAAAGACCAAAGAGGGGGACCUUCGGGCCUCUUGCCAUCGGAUGUGCCCAGAUGGGAUUAGCUUGUUGGUGGGGUAACGGCUCACCAAGGCGACGAUCCCUAGCUGGUCUGAGAGGAUGACCAGCCACACUGGAACUGAGACACGGUCCAGACUCCUACGGGAGGCAGCAUG